rnacentral:rRNA from 1 species
CCUACGGGAGGCAGCAGUGGGGAAUAUUGGACAAUGGGCGGAAGCCUGAUCCUGCCAUGCCGCGUGUGUGAAGAAGGCCUUUUGGUUGUAAAGCACUUUAAGCGAGGAGGAGGCUACUAGUACUAAUACUACUGGAUAGUGGACGUUACUCGCAGAAUAAGCACCGGCUAACUCUGUGCCAGCAGCCGCGGUAAUACAGAGGGUGCGAGCGUUAAUCGGAUUUACUGGGCGUAAAGCGUGCGUAGGCGGCUUUUUAAGUCGGAUGUGAAAUCCCCGAGCUUAACUUGGGAAUUGCAUUCGAUACUGGGAAGCUAGAGUAUGGGAGAGGAUGGUAGAAUUCCAGGUGUAGCGGUGAAAUGCGUAGAGAUCUGGAGGAAUACCGAUGGCGAAGGCAGCCAUCUGGCCUAAAUACUGACGCUGAGGUACGAAAGCAUGGGGAGCAAACAGGAUUAGAUACCCUGGUAGUCCAUGCCGUAAACGAUGUCUACUAGCCGUUGGGGCCUUUUGAGGCUUUAGUGGCGCAGCUAACGCGAUAAGUAGACCGCCUGGGGGAGUACGGUCGCAAGACUUAAAACUCAAAGGAAUUGACGGCUUGAGACGNGCGAGGAGACACAGGGAGAG